UACAGAGGUCCCAAGCGUUGUUCGGAUUCAUUGGGCGUAAAGGGUGCGUAGGCGGCGCGGUAAGUCGGGUGUGAAAUCUCGGAGCUUAACUCCGAAACUGCAUUCGAUACUGCCGUGCUUGAGGACUGGAGAGGAGACUGGAAUUACGGUGUAGCGGUGAAAUGCGUAGAUAUCGUAAGGAAGACCAGUGGCGAAGGCGGGUCGUCUGGACGUUCCUGACGCUGGAGACG
rnacentral:rRNA from 1 species